rnacentral:rRNA from 1 species
UCUUCCCUCUGGCGGCGUGCCUAAUACAUGCAAGUCGAGCGAACAGAUGAGGAGCUUGCUCCUCUGACGUUAGCGGCGGACGGGUGAGUAACACGUGGAUAACCUACCUAUAAGACUGGGAUAACUUCGGGAAACCGGAGCUAAUACCGGAUAAUAUAUUGAACCGCAUGGUUCAAUAGUGAAAGACGGUUUUGCUGUCACUUAUAGAUGGAUCCGCGCCGCAUUAGCUAGUUGGUAAGGUAACGGCUUACCAAGGCAACGAUGCGUAGCCGACCUGAGAGGGUGAUCGGCCACACUGGAGCUGAGACACGGUCCAGACUCCUACGGGAGGCAGCAGUAGGGAAUCUUCCGCAAUGGGCGAAAGCCUGACUGAGCAACGCCGCGUGAGUGAUGAAGGUCUUCGGAUCGUAAAACUCUGUUAUUAGGGAAGAACAAAUGUGUAAGUAACUAUGCACGUCUUGACGGUACCUAAUCAGAAAGCCACGGCUAACUACGUG